UGGCCAACUGCAAGCUGAAGAAUCAGGAGAGCUAGUAGUGUGAUUCCUGGAGAGGUCAGUAGUGUGGCUUCCAAAGAAGCUGCUAAUGGGGCUCAGCCCAAGUCUGAAAGCUUCCAAACCAGGGAAAUGAAAAAUGUAGCUUCAAGUCUGAGGCUAAAGGCCUGAGUUGCCUAUAGGAGGCAACUAUUGCAAGUUCUAGAGUGCAAAAGCUGAAGAACUUGGACUCUGAUAUUCAAAAACGGGAGGAGAAAAAGGCAUCCUCCUCCAGAAGAUAGAGAAAGAGAAAGCAAAAUUGAGAGAAGUUUCACUCUGUAGCCACAACAGCUAGUAAUGUGCUGAUUUUUACCUGAAGCCACCAACUGUCAGAAGCUGAACCAAGGUCCUCAGUGCAGUAAUUGUGUACUGCUGCAGUUAUUGAGAGCCCAAAAGGUCUUCAGUUAUCAGUUUUCCUGCCUCUCUGCUGCAGAUCUGCUGGAGUUUGUAGGAGAUCCACUCCAGACCCUGUUUGCCUGGGUGUCACGAGAGGAGGCUGCAGAACAGAAAAGAUUGCUGCCUGUUCCUUCCUCUGGAAGCUUCGUCCCAGAGGGGCACCUGCCAGAUGCCAGCCAGAGCUCUCCUGUAUGAAGUGUCUGUCAACCCCUGCUGGGAGGUGUCUCCCAGUCAGGAGGCAUGGGGGUCAGGGACCCACUUGAGGAGGCAGUCUGUCCCCUAGCAGAGCUCGAGUGCUGUGCUGGGAGAUAUUCUGGUCUCUUCAGAGCCGGCAGGCAGGAACAUUUAAGUCUGCUGAAGCUGCACCCACAGCCGCCCCUUCCCCCAGGUGCUCUGUUCUAGGGAGAUGGGAGUUUUAUCUGUAAGAUCCUGAUUGAGGCUGCUGCCUUUCUUUCAGAGAUGCCCUUCCUUGAGAGGAGAAAUCUAGAGAGGCAGUCUGGCUACAGAGGCUUUGCUGAGCUGUGAUGGGCUCCACCCCAUUCGAAAUUCCUGGUGGCUUUGUUUACACUGUGAGGGGAAAAAUGCCUACUCAAGUCUCAGUAAUGGCAGACACCCCUCCCUCCACCAAGCUCGAGAGUCCCAGGUGGACUUCAGACUGCUGUGCUGGCAGCGAAAAUUUCAAGCCAGUGGAUAUCAGAUUGCUGGGCUCCAUAUGGGUGGGAUCCACUGAGCUAGACCUCUUGGCUCCCUGACUUCAGCCCCCUUUCCAGCGGAAUGAACGCUUCUAUCUUGCUGGCAUUUCAUGUGCUACUGGGGUGUAAAAAAACUCCUGCAGCUAGCUUGGUGUCUGCCCAAAAGGCCGCCCAGUUUUGUGCUUGAAACCCAGGGCCUUGGUGGUGUAGGCACCCAAGGAAAUCUCCUGGUCUGCGGAUUUUGAAGACCAUGGGAAAUGCGUAGUAUUUGAUCUGGAAUGCACCAAUCCUCACGGCACACUCCUUCAUGGCUUUUCUUGGCUAGGGGAGGGAGUCUCCCGACCCCUUGAACUUCCCGGGUGAUGUGGUGCCCCACCCUGAUUUUGCUCACCCUCCAAGAGGGCUGCACUCACUGUCUAACCAAUCCCAAUGAGACAAGCCAUGUACCUCAGUUAGAAAUGCAGAAAUCAACUGCCUUCUGCCUUGACCUUGCUGGGAGCUGCAGACUGGAGCUGUUCCUAUUCAGCCAUCUUGCCAGCCACCUGAAGUCUUACUUUUAAAACACUUAUAUAAUUUUUAUUAAUGAAUAUAAACUUAAAUUUUAAAACUUAAGAUCCAAUGUGAUAAUGAUAGAGUAAAACAACUUUAUACACUACUAACUGGAGUGCAAAUUGAUUCAACUUUUUUAGAAAGUAAUUUGGUAAUAUGUGGUAAAAUUACUCAGAAAUUCCACUUUUACAAUUUAUCCUGAGGAAAUUAUCAGUGUUGUGCACAAAGAUUUAUAUAAAAGAUAAUCCUUACAAAAUCAUUUAUAAUUGGUAACUAAUUUGAAACAACAUAAAAGUACCAGAUUAAGGGAUUUAAAAAAUAACAUGAUAAAAUCAUCUGUUAGAACACCA
rnacentral:lncRNA from 10 species